CACCCAACAGCUAGCCCGCCCUUAUAAACUCAACACUUAAACAUACAUAAACCCUAACAUCCUCAAUACCUCAAUUAAAUCAUUCUUCCGCUCUAGUAUAGGCGAUAGAAAAAGACCUACGGCGCAAUAGAAAAAGUACCGCAAGGGAAAGCUGAAAGAGAAGUGAAACAACUCAGUAAAGUAUAAGAAAGCAGAGUUUUUACCUCGUACCUUUUGCAUCAUGUUCUAGCUAGAGCCCCCCAAGCGAAAAGCAUUUUAGUUUGACAACCCGAAACUAGGUGAGCUACUCCAAGACAGCCUAACAUAUAGGGCCAACCCGUCUCUGUGGCAAAAGAGUGGGAAGAUCUUCGAGUAGAGGUGAUAAACCUACCGAACCUGGUUAUAGCUGGUUACCUAACAAUUGAAUAGAAGUUCAGCCUCUUGAGUUCUCCCCUCCCCACUGGUUAUAACCUAAACCUUAAAGACUAAGAGAAAUCUAGAGAGUUAGUCGAAGGGGGUACAGCCCCUUUGAAACAAGACACAACUUUAUUUAGGAGGAUAAGGAUCAAAUUCUAUUAAGGUUAAAUAUUUUAGUGGGCCUAAAAGCAGCCACCCCAAAAGAAAGCGUUAAAGCUCGGAUAUUCCUCAAACCCCUAAUUCUGAUUUCUAAAUCCAACCCCCCUUAUUUUAUUAGGUCUUCCCAUAACUACAUAUGGGAGUGAUCAUGCUAGUAUGAGUAAUAAGAGAUUAUUGCAUCUCUCCAUGCAUAAGUGUAACUCGGAACGGACUCCCCGCCGAGCAUUAACGCCCCCAAAACUAGAGGGUACUGGGCCAGAAAUAAAAGAACAAGAAAACCGCCCAAAAGAUAUCGUUAACCCCACACUGGUGCGCCUACAUGGAAAGACUAAAAGGGUAAGAAGGAACUCGGCAAAUUCUCCCUAAGCCUCGCCUGUUUACCAAAAACAUCGCCUCUUGCCAAUUAAGCAUAAGAGGUCCCGCCUGCCCUGUGACUAUAAGUUUAACGGCCGCGGUAUUUUGACCGUGCAAAGGUAGCGCAAUCACUUGUCUUUUAAAUGAAGACCUGUAUGAAUGGCACGACGAGGGCUUAACUGUCUCCUUUCCCCAGUCAAUGAAAUUGAUCUCCCCGUGCAGAAGCGGGGAUACCACCAUAAGACGAGAAGACCCUAUGGAGCUUUAGACACCAGGACAGACCAUGUCAAUACCCUCUAAUCAAAGAGUAGAACUAAUUGGCCCCUGCCCCUAUGUCUUUGGUUGGGGCGACCGCGGGGUAAAACAAAACCCCCACGUGGAUUAGGAGUAUACUCCUACAACCAAGAGCAUACAGCUCUAAGUAACAGAAUAUCUGACCAUCAAGAUCCGGCCAUGCCGAUCAACGGACCGAGUUACCCUAGGGAUAACAGCGCAAUCCUCUUUUAGAGCCCAUAUCGACAAGGGGGUUUACGACCUCGAUGUUGGAUCAGGACAUCCUAUUGGUGCAGCCGCUAUUAAGGGUUCGUUUGUUCAACGAUUAAAGUCCUACGUGAUCUGAGUUCAGACCGGAGUAAUCCAGGUCAGUUUCUAUCUAUGAUUUGAUCUCUUCUAGUACGAAAGGACCGAUGAGAAGAGGCCCAUACUUCAAGUACGCCUCCCCCCUACCUAAUGAAGACAACUAAAAUAGGCAAGAGGGCAUACCCCCUUGUCUGAGAUAAUGACAU
rnacentral:rRNA from 1 species